UGGGGAAUAUUGGACAAUGGGCGAAAGCCUGAUCCAGCCAUGCCGCGUGAGUGACGAAGGCCUUAGGGUUGUAAAACUCUUUCGUCGAGGACGAUAAUGACGGUACCCAAAGAAGAAGCUCCGGCUAACUUCGUGCCAGCAGCCGCGGUAAUACGAAGGGGGCUAGCGUUGUUCGGAUUUACUGGGCGUAAAGCGCGUGUAGGCGGACUUGUAAGUUGGGGGUGAAAUCCCGAGGCUCAACCUCGGAACUGCCUCCAAAACUACAAAUCUGGACCUAAGUAGAGGCAAGUGGAAUUGCGAGUGUAGAGGUGAAAUUCGUAGAUAUUCGCAGGAACACCAGUGGCGAAGGCGACUUGCUGGACUUAUGGUGACGCUGAGACGCGAAAGCGUGGGGAGCAAACAGGAUUAGAUACCCGUGUAGUCCCUGAGCGGGCUGGCAAGGCGCAU
rnacentral:rRNA from 1 species